AUUUAAAUAGUUUAAAAUAAAAUAUUGAUUUGUGGUGUCAAUGAUAUGAAAGUUCAUUUUAGAUC
rnacentral:tRNA from 1 species